rnacentral:rRNA from 1 species
AUUGAACGCUGGCGGCAUGCUUUACACAUGCAAGUCGAACGGCAGCGCGGGCUUCGGCCUGGCGGCGAGUGGCGAACGGGUGAGUAAUGCAUCGGAACGUGCCCAGUAGUGGGGGAUAGCCCGGCGAAAGCCGGAUUAAUACCGCAUACGACCUGAGGGUGAAAGCGGGGGACCGAAAGGCCUCGCGCUAUUGGAGCGGCCGAUGUCGGAUUAGCUAGUUGGUGGGGUAAAGGCUAACCAAGGCGACGAUCCGUAGCUGGUCUGAGAGGACGACCAGCCACACUGGGACUGAGACACGGCCCAGACUCCUACGGGAGGCAGCAGUGGGGAAUUUUGGACAAUGGGGGCAACCCUGAUCCAGCCAUGCCGCGUGCGGGAAGAAGGCCUUCGGGUUGUAAACCGCUUUUGUUCGGGAAGAAAUCCUCUGGGCUAAUACCCCGGGGGGAUGACGGUACCGGAAGAAUAAGCACCGGCUAACUACGUG